GGCGACUCGCCCCCCAGCAGCUGGCAGGUGUGAGUGCGCGCGCAGGAGCAGCCCGGGGUUGCAGGCAGCAGGCAGCAGGAGGAGGGGUCUUGUUGGGUUAGGAGUGUGGCCAGGGUUACAGAUGGAGAAACUCAGGUGCAGAUGAAAUGGCAAGUUUUAGGUGCUUGUCCCCUUAAUAACACACUCCGGGCUUAGCUUUCCUUGUUCUGGGAACUGUCUUUGUUUACUGUGGCCUCAGGCAGAGCUCAGGGGUGUAGACAGAAGCCUCUUGGUAGAACCUGUGAUGCAGCGAGCCUGUCAUGCCAGCUCUGCAUGCUGCUUCGGGCUCUCCCAGAGUGACCUGCGGGAGUGACUAUCGCUCUGCGGAGGAGCAUCUGCCAGCCAGCCCACGGCCCCGGGUUCCCUCGCAGCACCACAGGACAGCAGUGAGAGUGGUGGCUUUGGCAUGUAGGGCAGUGGCGGGCACACCUGGCUUUGCAUCUCAGGGUGCUGUGCUGUGGGCUCUGUUGUCCCCAGACUUUGUAUCGGGCUCUGGGUGGAGGAGCCGCCGUGUGCUCCCUGCUGUGUGCUCCUGCAGCGUGCUCCCGGUGACUCAGCACCUGUCGAGGUGCCUUCUCCCCCAGGGCGGAGCCCUUGCUCUGUUCAUCAUUGCUAUCUUGAAAAUAAAGUGCUUUUUGGACUUCAAUCUUCUUAUCGAUGUCCAGUGAAUUUUAUAGACUUG
rnacentral:lncRNA from 1 species